rnacentral:rRNA from 1 species
GUCAACGCGCACGUGUGAAGCUUCUUCCCCUCAGUCGAGUUUUUUUAGACCGCAGCUCAAGACGCGCAAACACUUCCCAUCUAAAUUAAAAUCUUCCCCAGAGCUUUAUAGCGCACUAGUAUAGUUCUCAUAAAGCCAAAAUCCUUUUCGAAAAGAGAGUUUCAGUGUACGUGAAAUUGCUGACAAAUCGCGCUUUAAAGCUGCUGGUGAGGCGGUACAUCACACUGUAUUUUAUCCGGCCCCCCAAACCGUUGUCAGGCCAGCAUCGGUUGGGGUCGCCGGAUAAAAUCCCCGGGAAUCUACCUCGUCUCGGGGAGUGUUAUAGCCAGAGGUGCCAUGCAGCCCGCCCGGACCGAGGACCGCGCUUCGGCUAGGAUGCUGGCGUAAUGGUUGUAAGCGACCCGUCUUGAAACACGGACCAAGGAGUCUAACAUCUAUGCGAGUGUUUGGGUGUCAAACCCAUGCGCGUAAUGAAAGUGAACGGAGGUGGGAACCCUCAAGGGUGCACCAUCGACCGAUCCUGAUGUCUUCGGAUGGAUUUGAGUAAGAGCAUAGUUUGUUGGGACCCGAACUAUCCCUGAAUAGGGUGAAGCCAUAGGAAACGCAGCGGUUCUGACGUGCAAAUCGAUCGUCAAAU